GGCGCUAUGGUGUAGUGGCACCACAUUGGAUUUUGAUUACAUUAUUCCAACAACCCAGGUUCGAACCCUGGUAGUGCCU